rnacentral:rRNA from 1 species
AUUGAACGCUGGCGGCAGGCCUAACACAUGCAAGUCGGACGGUAGCGCAGAGGAGCUUGCUCCUCGGGUGACGACUGGCGGACGGGGGAGCAAUGUCUGGGUAUCUGCCCGAUAGAGGGUGAGAACCACUGGAAGAGGUGGCUAAUACCGCAUAACGUCGCAAGACCACAAAGGGAGACCUUCAGGCCACUAACUACCGGAACAACCCAGAUGGGAUUAGCUAGUAGGCGGGGUAACGGCCCACCUAGGCGACGAUCGCUGGCGGGUCUGAGAGGAUGACCAGCCACACUGGAACUGAGACACGGUCCAGACUCCUACGGGAGGCAGCAGUGGGGAAUAUUGCACAAUGGGCGCAGGCCUGAUGCAGCCAUGCCGCGUGUAUGAAGAAGGCCUUCGGGUUGUAAAGCACUUUCAGCGGGGAGGAAGGCGAUGUGGUUAAUAACCGCAUUGAUUGACGGUACCCGCAGAAGAAGCACCGGCUAACUCCGUGCCAGCCGCCGCCGUAA